UUUAUUUCCGCUAAGUCGAGUGUUUUAAAAAAAGUCGAAUUAAGCGUGUCAAAAUGAUUUUUACAAACGGGCUGAUUUUUGCGUGGGCGUUACCCACAGCUCUGAUGGAGAGUACAUUGACUCGUGGGACCACUUGGUGGGGAGUAUUAAGCCGUCAAUGUCGCAAAAUUCCAGCCAAUCUGAUUUCAGCUCGCCAGUUUCAUUUCAUUCUUCGGCCGAUGACUGCGUCACAGAAUCCAGAGGACGAGUUUCUUGAGGUCGCCGCUGCCAAAUUUUGCGAUACGCACAAUAAAACAUGCAAAAUAUACAUCAUAUAUGCUAGGAUAACGGCGGCUGUGAAUACGGGUGGAGGAGGUGUCUUGAUUUGCGCGGAAUUCUAUUUUAGAUCCUGAAUGAUCUUUAACAUGGGCGCCGAAUCGGAAGACGUGUGCAUAUUCAAUCUAAUGCCUACGAUAUUUCCUACCGAAUAAUGUGUCUAGGUUUUCUUUUUUGUUCGUAAAAUAUACAUAUUUCAGUGGGUGCUACUUGAGGUUUAUUUUUCAAUCUGUUUCACCUCUUAUAGUCUCUUAGUUUUGAACUCCAAUAUUAUAGAAUAAGCUUCCAUUUCUGAAUGGGAACCAGAAUUCUGCCUUGCUAAGGGAGAACGCCGUAUCAACAUUCGAGAGUUGCCAAAUUUCUCUCGAUAAAAUGUUUAUUUUUAGGAGAGUUAUGAAUAUUUUUCCUUUAAAUUUUCAGAAUCUUUAUGUAAAAUUGAGAACUGAAUUAUCUAAAAAAUGGAGAGGAAAAUAUUCAUAAAUUUACCGGGAAAUUUGCGUUCCAUCAAAGGAAAUUUGGCAACGCCUGAAGAUUCAUACGGCGUUUCUCCUUAGCACGGCAGAAUUGUCUGCUGACAGAAUUUUUAGUUCACGAGACAAAGUUCUUUCCAUUAGUUGCAUGUUUCGCGGUAAAUCGAAUGAUCUGCCAUUUAAACCUAUAGAAAACUAUCGAUGAGCAGGGUGUUCGCAAUGAACAGCUUAAAAAUCGAUUCAUUACCAUAGCUUCCAAUGGAGAAAUAUCGAUAAUUGAUCCUUCACGCUUCGCCUUUGCUUUGCGAUAUAUGGAUAGAUCCGCCAUUUGAACCUACGGAGAAGGAUCGAUUAACAGAGUGUUCGCAACAAGCGCCGAAAUAAUCGAUUCUUUACCACAGCUUCAAAUGGGGAGAUAUCGAUUAUCGAUCAUUCACGUCUCCGUACUGGUGUUCACGUUUCUUAGAAAAUCAAGGAUAUUUGUAUAAGUUUCUGUAGCCACUGUGAAAAUGAUGAUUUUGAGUUAGA
rnacentral:lncRNA from 1 species